CAGGACGAACGCUGGCGGCAUGCCUAACACAUGCAAGUCGAACGGAGCACUUCGAUUUCCUCGGAAUGAAAAAGUGACUGAGUGGCGGACGGGUGAGUAACGCGUGGGUAACCUGCCUCAUACAGGGGGAUAACAGUUAGAAAUGACUGCUAAUACCGCAUAAGCGCACAGUAUCGCAUGAUACAGUGUGAAAAACUCCGGUGGUAUGAGAUGGACCCGCGUCUGAUUAGCUAGUUGGUGAGGUAACGGCCCACCAAGGCGACGAUCAGUAGCCGACCUGAGAGGGUGACCGGCCACAUUGGGACUGAGACACGGCCCAAACUCCUACGGGAGGCAGCAGUGGGGAAUAUUGCACAAUGGGCGAAACCCUGAUGCAGCGACGCCGCGUGAACGAUGAAGUAUUUCGGUAUGUAAAGUUCUAUCAGCAGGGAAGAUAAUGACGGUACCUGACUAAGAAGCACCGGCUAAAUACGUG
rnacentral:rRNA from 1 species